AUUCCUGGCUCAGGAUGAACGCUAGCUACAGGCUUAACACAUGCAAGUCGAGGGGCAGCAUGGUCUUAGCUUGCUAAGGCCGAUGGCGACCGGCGCACGGGUGAGUAACACGUAUCCAACCUGCCGUCUACUCUUGGACAGCCUUCUGAAAGGAAGAUUAAUACAAGAUGGCAUCAUGAGUCCACAUGUUCACAUGAUUAAAGGUAUUCCGGUAGACGAUGGGGAUGCG
rnacentral:rRNA from 1 species